rnacentral:lncRNA from 1 species
ACCUGGCAAAGAUUUUCUACACUUCUAUAGGCUUUCUUUGCCUGCUCUUGUUUCUAGUUUCUUCAGUUUUUAUUAUGAAUGGGUUAAAUAUUUAAAAGACUUUUUCUGUGUCUAUUGAGAUGUUCAUGUGCAUUUGUUUCUUAAUUAUAUUGGUGAUUAAUUAUAUGUGUUGAUUUGCUUAUAUCGAACCAUCUUCAUCUGUAGAAAGAAAACAAAUAAAUAAUGAUGGAGAACUUCUUAAUGUUUUCUUGAAUAUAAUUAGUUAAUAUUUUAUUAAGAAAAUUUGCAUCUGUCUUCAUCAAGGAUAUUGGUGUCUUGUUUUCUUUCCCAUAUGUAUCCUCAUCUUGUUUUAGUAUUAGCAUGAUUCUGGCUUAACAGAAUGAAUUUGGAUAUAUUUCACUCCUUAAUUGUAUCUCACUUACCUCUUCAAUCCUAAAUAUUCUUGAGUUUGGUCACUUAAUGUUUUUGCAGAUUUCUUGUAUAUCCUGAUCUGUUUUUUUUUUUUUUUUUAAAUUACUGACUAAAUAUUCAAGUUCAGUACUUUAUCUUCGAUACCUAAAAGUUUGUUUGCUAUCUGAUAAACUUAUAGACAUGUUAUUGGUAAGACUUUUAACUGAAUUACUUUAUUAAUUGAGUAUUUCAUUUCCAGACCUUUUGUAUGAUUAUUUUUCAUAAUCUGUAGCUCUUCAGUGAAUUUCUCAUUUGUAUCCUGUACUGAGUUUCUUAAUUCAUUCAGUUGUCUUUCUGUGUUCUCUUAGAAUUUGCAGAUAAUUAUCAUAGUCAUUAUUUUGAUUAUCAACAUUAUACAUUUUUCAUUUCUAUAUCAUCAGAGUCAGUUUCUGGUGAAUUAUGGAUCUCUUAAUUUGUCACAUUACCUGUUUUUUCAUAUUUCUGGUGUUCCUGUGUUGAGAUUAGGAAUGGAAUUUUUCUCCCACUUUUAUUUAAAAUCAUUUUAGGCCUCUUUAUGGCCUUCUUUUGGUGAAGUGUUCUGGAAUAUCAGGUUUUGGGGAAUUCCUAAAUAUAUUUCUAAGUUGUUUUUGUAGUGUUAUUUACAAUCCAUUUAGUAAGGAAAAAUGCUUUCAACACCCCAGUUACAUAAUGUUUAAUGCUCAUAUGUACAGGUAUUCUCAAAAUUAAUAUGUAAUUUCACACAUAUUAUAUCACUGUUGAUUUUCUUAAUUACUUUUAGCUGCAGUGAUAUUAUUCCCACUUUAAAUAUGAGGAGGCUGGGCCUCAGAGACACAAUGCCUUGGCCAAGGACAUACAAACUUCAUGUGGUAGAGAUAAGACUGGGCACCAUAUGCCUUAGUGUCAUAGUUUCCUCAAAGUAGAAAUACAGUUCAAACAAGUUCAGUGUGUACUGCAGAUGCCUUAUUUUACAUUAUUGCCUGAUUACACUAAUCAGUAACUUUCAAAUAGUCACUGACAAUAAUUGCAAUAUUCAUUGCUUGAAGGUACGUCAGAAGAAUUUGAAUUUUUAACCUUUGAAUUUGUCUUAACUCAGGAGUUGAUGAACUUUUAAUCUAUGUGAAGGUGAAGCAGUAAUUUGCUAUGUGACUCACAGAACUUUGACCUCUAGACUAACCAUCUCAGGCUCUAAAAACUAAGAAAACCACACUUUUUAUUGUUGAUAAAAUAAACUUGAUGGCUUUCUUUAGAGCAUUAGCUUCAUUCUCUACGAGAUGGAUUUCUCUCCUCUCCUUCUUAAUUCCAUGAAACUCCUACCUUAUCCAUUGACUUUGUAAUACAGAUAAUCAGAUGCCAUAUCAAACUUACGGGACAUAUCAAAAGCAGUACUAAAAGGAAGUUUAUGCAAUAAAUCC